rnacentral:misc_RNA from 1 species
AACCAUAGAAACCUGCGGAGUACCUGCGGAGGGAUCAUUACAAGUGACCCCGGUCUAACCACCGGGAUGUUCAUAACCCUUUGUUGUCCGACUCUGUUGCCUCCGGGGCGACCCUGCCUUCGGGCGGGGGCUCCGGGUGGACACUUCAAACUCUUGCGUAACUUUGCAGUCUGAGUAAACUUAAUUAAUAAAUUAAAACUUUCAACAAUGGAUCU